rnacentral:tRNA from 1 species
CCGGGCGCGUGGUCGAGCUCGCGGACGCCGACGAGUUCUACCGCAACCCGCGGCACCCGUACAGCCAGGGUCUGCUCGGGUCGUUCCCGACGCUCUCGGGCC